AAGACAUUAGUAAAAUGUAAAUUACAUCGCCUUGUCAAGGCGAAAUUGUUAGGUUAGAUCCCUGCAUGUCUUAAACCCAA
rnacentral:tRNA from 1 species